rnacentral:rRNA from 1 species
GACGAACGCUGGCGGCGUGCCUAAUACAUGCAAGUCGAACGCAGUGGGGACGGGUGAGUAACACGUGGGUAACCUCCCAUCAGAGGGGAUAACACUUGGCAACAGGUGCUAAACCGAUACUGAUGGAUGGACUCGGGGUGCAUUAGCCAGUUGGUGGGGUAACGGCUCACCAAGGCCACGAUGCAUAGCCGGCCUGAGAGGGUGAUCAGCCACACGGGGACUGUGACACGGUCCAGACUCCUACGGGAGGCAGCAGUAGGGAAUCUUCGGCAAGGGGCGAAAGUCUGACCCAGCAACGCCGCGUGAAUGAAGAAGGUUUUCGGGUCGUAAAACUCUGUUGUUAGGGAAGCGGUAUCUAACCAGAAAGCCACGGCUAACUACGUGCCAGCAGCCGCGGUAAUUC